CAAAGGUUUGGUCCUAGCCUUACUAUUAAUUUUAGCUACAUUUACACAUGCAAGUAUCAGCAUCCCCGUGAAAAUGCCCUCUACCACCAAUAAGUGCUGGAGGAGCGGAUAUCAGGCACUUUCCCCUGCCAAAGACAUCUUGUUUAGCCACACCCCCAAGGGAAUUCAGCAGUGAUAAACAUUGAAAAAUAAGCGACACAAGCUUGAAUCAGUGAUAGCCAAUAGAGUCGGUAAAUCUCGUGCCAGCCACCGCGGUUAUACGAAAGACUCAAAUUAAUAAAAAUCGGCUCAAAGGGUGGUUAAAGAUAUACACACAAAUAGAACUAAAAACUAACUACGCUGUCGCACGCAAUAGUUUUUAAAAAUACAAUUUCGAAAGUAGUUCUACUAAACAAACUUGAACCCACGACAGCUAGGACCCAAACUGGGAUUAGAUACCCCACUAUGCCUAACCAUAAACUUUGAUUUAUCCGCCAGAGUACUACGAGCAACAGCUUAAAACUCAAAGGACUUGGCGGUGCUCUAUACCCCCCUAGAGGAGCCUGUUCUAUAAUCGAUAAUCCACGAUAAACCUCACCAUCUAUUGCUAAUACAGCCUAUAUACCACCGUCCAGCCCACCCUUUAAAGGACAGACAGUAGGCACAAUUAUAAACAUAAAAACGUCAGGUCAAGGUGUAGCACAUGAGAUGGAAAGAAAUGGGCUACAUUUUCUAACCUAGAAAACACGGAAAAGUUUAUGAAAUAAGACUAUAAAGGAGGAUUUAGCAGUAAAAAGAAAAAAGAGUGUUCUUUUUAAGCCGGCAAUGGAGCGCGCACACACCGCCCGUCACCCUCUUCAAAUAAUAAUAAAGUAUAAAUAAACAAAAACCAAAAAGAAGAAGAGGCAAGUCGUAACAUGGUAAGUCUACCGGAAGGUGAACUUGGAA
rnacentral:ncRNA from 1 species